CAAUAUAGCUUAGUGGUAAAGCAUUCACUUCGUAAGUGAAAGAUCAUGAGUUCAAUCCUCAUUGUUGG
rnacentral:tRNA from 1 species